GAAUAAAUUAAAUGAGGGGUAGUGUGGUAAUUGAACAAUAGUUGAUAUAUAUAAAUAGAGAGAAGGAAAAAAAAAAACAAAAGAGAGAUCUGAAUUUUGAGAGAGAACCGGCAGGAGAGAAAGGGAGAAAGAAGAAGAAGAAGAGAAAAGAGGGAAAUUAGAAAGGAAAUAGAAAGGAGUUGGAGAAAAUAAGUAAAAAUAUAAUCCUGAUAUUCUACCGGCAGGACGUCAGUAGGAUUUUCUUCAGUAUUUGCUCUUGGCUUCUGUUUGCUUUUGAGUCAGGUGAGUGGAUAAUUUUCCAUAUUCAUGAGAAAUAGUAUAAAUAUUUGAUUUGUUAAUAUGAAUUGAAUCAUGCUUCUUGAUAAUAUAUAUGUUGAUUAUUAUCCU